GCCAUGAUAGAAGAUGAUCAAAUAAUGUAUAUCUUUUCUGGGCUUGGUGCAGAGUAUGAUUCAGUCAUGGUUACUAUUACAUCCAAACCUGAGGUCUAGACUCUUAGAGAUGUGAGUUCUUUACUCCUGAGCUUUGAAA